GAUCCUGCACUAAUCUGCCUGGUAUCACUGCCUCCUGCACAAUGCUUUCACAAUGCGGACACAGAGCAGCUCCUGUGGUGGGCACAGGAGCCAACCAUGCAAGAAAUGAAAAGCAAAGACUGUACAGUAUGUUACUGUUACUGAAUGCAAAUGCAGCACGGAUGUUAGCAACACAAAACUAAAUCAGUCUGGCAAGAGGAAAGCCAGCCCUGGACUUGCAUCAGCGGCGCUGAUCUGUGGGUUCCAAGUGUGGCAUCACUGCAGAGCAGGUUGGACGAGGCUCCCUGACCUCCUCUACUUGGCAGGCUUUCUUUUGCAUUUUUGGCUGAGAGACAAACUAAACUGCCCUCCCCAGGCCCUCCAACUGGUCCCAGUACAUCCCGGUGCAGGUGUGCUGGCGGGCAAGGUGAGGAGAGAUUUAAUCACUCCAGCAUAUGGGGGGAACUUAACUCUCCAGAGGCAAUGGAGAAUCUGCUUUAAAUAUCAAGGAGCCUACAAACAUGAACACGUAAGAGCCAAAACAGGAACUGAUGCUCUUUUUCCAGUACAGCUGGCCAUCAAGAUGCCCAUCAUCUGCUCAUUGACUCUCAGCAUCCCAGACACCUCAGAGCUGUUUGUGAGUGUCCACAGAUGUCCGAUUGAUUUAUGGCUGAACGACUGAACAUGCAGCACUACGAGGGCUGGCUUUGCCCUGCUCUUGGCACUGACCAGCACAGCUAUGCCCAGCUCCAGUGAGUCAGCUCAGUGAGCGCUGAGCUCCCGCUGCUCGCCGGGACCACGGGACUCAAAGGCCACCAGCCCGGUUUCGGUGCCCUGGUUUUCUUUGCUCGCCCGGCGGUUCCGCCCCGCGCCCCACCCCGCAGCGGCGUUAAUGAUGGGGUAGGGAUUGCUCUGGGCAGGCAGGAGGUGUGGGUCACUCUGUCGGGGCAGUGAGCUGCGGUCAGUGGGACGCCGUGACACACUGCCCCGAGCUGCAGCCAUCGGGGCUGGGCUGUGCUGCUGGGAGUCCAGGGAUGGCCGGGGGAAGGUGCCCUCAGAGAGCUAGGCAGCAGGUGAUUGGGAUCAGUUUCCCAGUGAUAAGAUUGUUUUCUUCUCCCAAACUCUGGGCCUGGCUCUCUGCAGUUGGGUGCAGCGCUGCCCAGCUCUGUGGCCAGCCCCAGCCCUUCCCCGGCCCAGGGAUCACUGCCAAAGCCCAGCACAGGGCAACCACUGAGCUCCUCUUUCCCUUUUGAAAGCUUAUAUAAAAAUGAUGAUAAGCUAAAUCUAGAUCUAUGCAGCAAUUAUGUGGGAUGCCAGACCUUGCACCUGUAGCAUAAUACAUAACAGAGCCAGCUAACUGCCUUGUCUAAUGAUUGCUCUGAACAGCAUACAAAUCACAUUAUGGGGGGUGAGCUGAGAGCCAUUUUUCAGCUGAAGCUGAUGAGCUUGCAGAGACUUUCUUUGCUCCGUUCUCCCAGACUGCAGGUUUGUCCUCUUCUCCCUGGAAUCCUUCCUGUUAUUUUUCUACCUUCCUGUCACAGGAUGCAACGUUCAUUACAAUAAUAGAUCAAACUUUGAGUGGAAAAACUCUGCUUUACGGUUGUCUUUAGGAUUUCCCAGUUUCAUUUCCUGCAACCCAUAAUGAGCAGGUGGAGUGUUUUCACAGGAUGCUUGGGUGGGCAAGAGAUGCCUAUGAACGUUAUCCCACCCUAACCUCUCAGCUGUCACCUUGAGGUGGGAUAGGCCAUCUCCUGAGGAACCUUAAGCUAGGAGCUUGGAUAACUGGAGAAGACCGGCUCCUGAAUACCAGUCAGGCAAUGGCAGAAGAUGACUCCCGCUUUCAUGAUGGAGAAGACAACUCCCACUCUCUCUGGGAACUUAAAAUGUCCGUCUUGAUUUCUUAACCUGGAAUGUGCUUUGGAAACCCUGUCUGGAGAGUCUGCUUUGUCUCUCUGCACCUAAAUACUUUUGAAGCGUGGUCAGAGAUGUUCCCAACGUGUGCUCUGGUUUCUCUGGUGAGAGACACAGGAGGAAGUUUUGAGGUGGAAGAGCAGCAUUGGUGUCAAUUUGUUUGGAAGGAUUUUUGUGGACUGGACUUCUGUGGGUUUGCCUGCUUCCUGUUACUCUUAUGUUAUCAGCAUGAAAAUAUUAAAUUAUGUGACCAAUAUAGCCAGUAAGACUGGCCACAGCUAUUAUAUAACGUCUGGUUGCUGUAAACAUCUCCAUGAUCGUUUCUUUGAUUGCAGUGCAAACGUAUCCUGUGCACAAUAUGUGGGUUACCAGGUAGAUUUAUGUCAUGACUCAGGAUGAGCCAAUAUCAUAAGCAAAUGUUAAUGAAGGGUGGGAUUUUCAUUAGUUUCUCUGUAUUGACCUAUUUCACUUCCUAUCCAAGGCAGCAGCUAAAGAGAGCUGGCCUAAAUGGAUCGGUGUUCUGCAGCCCAGAAUCGUGAUCCAGGGCUGGAGAGAGCCCCGUUCUCCCUAGGGUGCUGUUCUCAUCUGACAUUAUGACAAAUAGUCCUAGGCUCCUUCUGUAUUAAAAAUAAAAGCCUUGAACUUGCAUAUUUCCUUAUGGAAAAAAUAGCUAUCUUGGGAUCCUGCUUAUACAACUGGAACAACUUUUGUUCUCCACCCCACCUAAAGACAAGCAAAAGGCUUUUAUGUUCUCUAAGUUAUUAAUGAGCGGGGCUUCCUCUGCUGAGAGGAUGUUUGGAGCACUGCUAAAAUCUCUGCUCAGGUCCCUCAAACUGGGACAAGUGAUCUUACAUCACCUUCCUGAGCUAAUUGCCAGCCAUUAAAAGACACAUUUUUAGUAACACCUUUUGCCAAAUUAUCCUCUGCCUUUGCCUGCUUCAUCAUAGCACUUUUUUACAGGUAAACAGCUCUCUGCUCUCUAAGGAGUAGAAUUAAGUGGCUUUAUGACAUUUUAAAAAGGGAGAGACAUUAAUUUGUGCUCCCUGUUCUACCUUCCAUUUAAAAAAGGAAAAUAACUGGGCAGUUUCUGGAGACUGGUGCCCAGAAGGAGAUAGUGUGAGAUGAUCUAACCCAUUAAAUCAAAGGAAAGUUGGACAAAGGAGUGACUUGCUCAGGGACAGAUAAAAAUUAUCCCAAACUGAAGGCAGACUCAGUAACAAAGCACUGGUCUGACAGCCAGUCCACCCUUUCUGCAAACAUUAUGCAGCAGGUAACAGAGCUAUGCUCAUGAAUCAUUGCCUUGUUUAUUUAAAAUAAAUAAAUAAAUAUCUGACAGCAGUGAUGGAGUGACUGAGCAGGCGUUCAGCUUGCCUGCUGCAUCCUGGGAAAGCCCUGCACAGCAGGGAGAGAGGAACAGCACCCACGGCCUGCAGUGCCACGCGAGCUCUGGCAGGUGGGUUUUUUAGGGUCGAAGGAGUUUCUGUGCAACUGAGAAGCAGAAGUGGUUUGGAUUUUCCUAUGUUGAAGCCUUCCUGUCUCUAUUCUCAUUUCAUGUGUAAUUAAGGGAUUUUUUAAAAGAAAGUACACCAGAGAAACCCUAACAACUGAGCCCUGCUGUGCAUAACACUGGGUCUACCUCAAGUGAUGCUGUGGAUGAAGAAACGUUUUUCCAUCUGCCUUUUCUCUGCUCACAUAGUAGUCUUUGUCCUUCUGCUUUGGCAUGUGGGCUAAGGGGAGCUCAAAGUGCCCCACGUAGCUUCCAGCCGGGGGGAAGUGUGGCUGUAUGCCAGCUGUGGGCUGCUUGGACGGGGUCACGGGGCUGCAGUGCGAGGGCUGAGCUGGCUGAGCUUGUUCUGCGAGAGGCGGAUGCUCACCGGGGUUUGCUGGAGGGUGAGGUAGAGCUUUGUAUUGUGAAUAUACUGGGAGUCCCAGCCUGCACCACCCUGCUUGUGGAGGAUGCUGGAUCCAUCUACACAGGCGUUACAAACUGCCACUAGCUUUAUCACCACAAACUCUUCACGGUGUGAUGCAAAGUCAUCUUGGUGAUAGCUCUGAAUACUCUUCAUGUUCACGUAUAACUAACUACUCCACCAUCCCUUUGAAUUCUCCACUGCUGUGUACAAGAUUUCUGCAGAGCAUCCUAGGUUGUAAAAGGCUUAAGACGGAAAUGGUCUUUCGGAUCAGUGUUUAUGCAGCACCUGGCUUCCUGCCAGUCUGGCCAAAGACUGGAAUCCCUUCAUAUUUCCACAUCAGAGAAAGGUUAAUCAUAACAACCUUCAGCCUCUCACAUGUCUAGGUGAUGAAUCCUUCCCACACCUCUGUAGGACCAGUGCAUGUAGAUCAGUCUUGGGGUGUGAUGCCACAGUGCCCCAGAAUUAAAAGUUCACAGGCUGAGAACUCUGAGAAACACUGCCCCUUUGCAUAGGUAGGAAAACUGAUAUACAGGGAGGGGAGAAGAUCACGUGCAUAUAACCAGCUGGAGCGAACUGCACUGAUCAGGCCUCUGUGCUCCAACCAGGUGUGUGGCUGCCCUGCAUCUCCCCAACAUGGUGUCAUAAUGAUGGCCAUGCCAUGCCAUCCCAACCCCAGCAAGCAGCCAGUGGCUUCAUCCCAGCACACUGCUCUUUUGCAAAGGAAGCAGCAGCACAGUCAGGAAGCAGCAGACGAGCCUGGUUAGUCUGCUGUGACAGAGGUCCACCCAACAGGGCCCGGCCCCAGGUGGGAACCUAGUGAUAAGUGCUUAGUGCUCACAUUGCCUGUCUGUAACUGCAGCCAGUAGCUCUUUGAAACAUACAACUUGCCAAAGUGGGUUAACAGGAACAGUGUAAUAGGAGGGAUUAAGUCUGGCUAUGAUCCUGCCAUCUGCUAUUUCCUACACCUCCUCCUGGUACAUGUCCUGGCACCAAGAGAAGCAGCACUGACCUGUGGAAGA
rnacentral:lncRNA from 1 species